rnacentral:rRNA from 1 species
AGCGAACGCUGGCGGCAGGCCUAACACAUGCAAGUCGAACGAACCCUUCGGGGUUAGUGGCGGACGGGUGAGUAACACGUGGGAACGUACCUUUAGGUUCGGAACAACACAGGGAAACUUGUGCUAAUGCCGAAUGUGCCCUUCGGGGAAAGGAUUUAUCGCCUUUAGAGCGGCCCGCGUCUGAUUAGCUUGUUGGUGAGGUAAAGGCUCACCAAGGCUUCGAUCAGUAGCUGGUCUGAGAGGAUGAUCAGCCACACUGGGACUGAGACACGGCCCAGACUCCUACGGGAGGCAGCAGUGGGGAAUCUUGCGCAAUGGGCGAAAGCCUGACGCAGCCAUGCCGCGUGAAUGAUGAAGGUCUUAGGAUUGUAAAAUUCUUUCACCGGGGAAGGAUAAUGACGGUACCCGGAGAAGAAGCCCCGGCUAACUUCGUG